GUAUUAUGAAAACAUUGUUUUGUUGUAUUCUUUUGAUGUUGAAUAAGUUUAUACCAUUACUAUUACUACUUUUUCCCCUAUGUUUUUUACUAUAGAAAGAUAGAUCUUAUAAUUUGUAUUCGAAAUAUUUUUGUCCGAAAUUGUAAGACUCGUUGGAAAAAUGAGGACUUCGAAGUCACGUGUAACGUACUAAGAGAUCAUCGAAUGAUUAUCUAUUGACUAUUUCGACGAUACGUUUGUGGUUACAAGAUAAAUAAAAAUGACUGAUUUGUGGUUAGGUGUUAUCAAAGCAUAAAUUAUACUGUGUUAAAAUAAAGAAAUUUAUUCGAAUAAAUGAACGCAACAAGAUUAUUAUCUACUGUCUCUAUAACAAGUGUUACUCGUAAUAUUCAUAUCAUACUGUCUCGUCAGGAACAAAAGAUCUUUCACAUGCUCGAGUUGCCCCUGCAACACUCACUUUUCGGAUAUCAUUGCAAAAGUGCAUCAGUUCCAGAAAUACUAUUUUCAACAUACUCAAACAUAAUUGAGUCCAUGGUUAAUCCAAUGACACAUCAAGAAUUUAAGAAAAAUAUUAUGGAACCUCUUUUGGAGACUUGUUAUACUGCAAAUAGUAAUUCAGCAACCUGUGAUAUACCGUAUAAUAUUUCUAAUACAAAGGUGGUAAGUCAUAGAGGCACUGACACAAUGGCAAAUGAAAUGGCUAUUAAUUCAUGUAUGGAACAUACAUCUUUACAACAAAGAACUAUUAUCGAUAAGCAAAAUUAUAACACGAUAAGGAAAUGGAAGAGAUUGGGAAAAGGGAAACUACAGAUAGAUGGAGAUGAUGCAUUUGUGUUUAGAAUAUUGUCUUUCAAUAUUCUUGCACAAAAUCUUUUAGAAGCUCAUCCAUAUCUAUAUAUGCAACAUGAUAGAGAAGCAUUAUCUUGGGAUAUACGAAAGCCCCUUUUGUUACAAGAAAUACUUGAAGCACAGGCUGAUGUUAUAUGUCUCCAAGAGAUGCAGGAAAAAUAUUUAAAUGAAUUUUUAAAACCUUUUAAAGAACUUGGAUAUAAAUAUCUUUACAAGAAACGGACUAAUGAUAAAGAGGAUGGUUUACUAUUGUUGUAUCAUUCUGAUCAAUUCAAUUUGAUAGAUUACAUGAAAGUAGAAUUUUAUCAACCAGGCAUAGAACUCCUUAACAGAGACAAUGUUGGGAUAGUUGCAAAAUUAUCAUUUCGUGACAGUCCAAAUACGCAGAUUGUUGUAGCAACUACCCACUUGCUUUUUAAUCCAAGACGAAAUGAUAUAAGAUUAGCACAAACUCAACUACUACUUACAGAAAUAGAAAAAAUUGCAUUUAUUGAAAAUACAGCAUUGGGCCCUAAAUAUCUACCUAUUAUUUUUUCGGGUGAUUUUAAUUUGAAGCCUUAUACAGGCGUUUAUAAAUUUAUAACUGAGGGAUCUUUUGAAUAUUAUGGUAAAGGCAAAAAUCUGGAACCUACUGAAUUUCGUGCUUUAUCUUAUUUAUUAAUACCUCCACUAUUACAUAUUACGGAUAACUGUCAAUAUUUUCAUCUCUUAAUAAAAAGAUUAAAAGAAAAUAUUACUGGAGAUGCAGAGAAAAAGGACACUAAAUAUGCUGAUAAACAAGAUACAUCAUAUGGCGUAGCUGUAUUUAAACAAACUGAAUUUGAUACAAAGAAAAUUGAACCUCAACUUAUUGAAAUAACGCAAAAUAAUUAUGUCAAAUUUUCAUCUGGCAGAUUAACACAUCCUUUUAAUUUGCAUAGUGUUUAUAAACAUACAAACAAACAUGGAAAAAAAGAAGUAACAACUAAUCAAGGGGAAUGGAUUACAGUUGAUUAUAUAUUCUAUAGUGAUCUUGAACCAAUAGAUAUAUAUACCUUGCCAACUGUUGAAAAAUGUAAAGAUUUACCUACUAUACCUAACUUUGCUGUUGGAAGUGAUCAUUUAUGCUUAGGGGCUAGUUUUAAGAUAUUGAAGAAAAAAUAAUAAAAAUACAGAUUCUACAAUUAACUCUUUUUAUGAAAGUGACUAUUUACCAUUAAUUCAUUAUAAUGGCUGUGAAUAUGUAGUGAUCUUAUUAUCAUAAAAACAUCAAAGAAAUGCUAAAGUUAUAAAUUAUAAUUUUACUUUUAUAUAAAUAGUACUAGAUAAUAAUACAUCACAGAAUACAUAUUUAAACCAUAAUCUAUAGUGUUUCUCACAAAAUAGUUUAUAUUUUUGGUUUCCUUUUUUUUGUUUUUUUAAGGAUGACUAUAUGUAGAUAAUUUAUGUAAUAAAAUAAAACUUAUUUGAUUAUACAUUUUCUUUAUCUAUAACAAAAUUAUUAUGAACUAUGUAUACUAUAAUUAUUUAUGAAGUCUUUGGAUUUCUAUUAAUGAUAUAGAAACUUUUAAAUACAUAAACAAAAAUUGAAAAUAGACAUAAUAUAAAAACAUAAAACAAAUAUAAAUAAACCUCUAUUCUUAGAUUCCUUAGAUUCCUUAGAUAUCGUAUUCUAUCGAUUCAAAAUAAAGAAUAUAAAAAGAAUAUAACUUUUUUACGAAAAUUAAAUAGGUGAAUACUAGGAUUAACGAUAAAUUCUUAUUAUUGAUCUAUUGUAGCGAAAUUUCAGCGUUCUCUUUCAGUUCGAGAAUUCGAAUACAAUUCGACGAUUCUAUUUAAAUAGCACAUUGUAUGUUCGACCCGAUCUUUCGAUGCAUAUCGUCUAUGAGCAUGUACGUAACUGUGUUUGUGCAAAUAAUAUUAAUCAGCAAUUUCAUUAAGUAGCAAUAUCGUUUGCAUGUCAUAAGUUGGUUCAUGCUAGAAAAAAAAAGAGAGAAAGAAAAAUAAAAAAGAGUGAGAAUGAAAUAAGGGGGAGAAGAGAACGGAGAUUAUGAGAAAGAUUUGAUCGUCAAAUAGAUUUUUGAUUUCUCAUGGAAUAUCUUAGAGUGACAAGUUCGAACCAAAAUCGGUACAGCGUAUCUUUUUACCACUUGAGGUAAAAAGACGUGCCACGCACGUCGAGAUGCUUUGGUUACAGGAACGCCAGUGACGUGUUACACACGUCGUCAGGCAAUUGUUGCAUAAAAAAAAAUGCACUGAUAACUUUGCACUUUAUCAUGUAAAAAAAAUAUACAACAAAAUACAAAUUAUUUCUUGAA